AAUACAUUUCUGAAUUAUUAAUACAUUUUAUAGGUAUACCGGUCGACGACGGUCGAUAUUUUAUACGGUCGACUAUAUUAUGUGUAGUUAUUUUCGUGAAGGUCAAAGUCUCGGGUGAAAUAUUUAUAGUAAUACCUACUCGCAAUAUUGGAACUAUUGUUAAAAUGUGUCGGGUAGGUACACAUUUAUAUACAUUAUGCACUACACCAAACAACAAUAAACUACACUACACUGCGCUACCUACACUAUAGACAUCACUGGAAUAGAAUAUUGCGUAUUAUGUAUAUUGUAUAGGUAAUUUACCGUCUCCUAUACGUUAAGAAUAAUAACAAUUUAUUAUCGAUUAAACCCCGAACGCGGAACGAGUAUCUUUUAUAAUAUUAGGUGGGGUGAUAUCGUGUAUGGGAUUUGAACGAUUCGAUUGUAAUAACAUUAUUAGACGCGCAUUUUGGUUUGGCCGAUUU